rnacentral:rRNA from 1 species
UGCAAGUCGAACGAUUGCCUUCGGGUGAUAGUGGCGCACGGGUGCGUAACGCGUGGGAAUCUGCCCUUAGGUUCGGAAUAACAGCUGGAAACGGCUGCUAAUACCGGAUGAUAUCGCGAGAUCAAAGAUUUAUCGCCUGAGGAUGAGUCCGCGUUGGAUUAGGUAGUUGGUGGGGUAAAGGCCUACCAAGCCGACGAUCCAUAGCUGGUCUGAGAGGAUGAUCAGCCACACUGGGACUGAGACACGGCCCAGACUCCUACGGGAGGCAGCAGUGGGGAAUAUUGGACAAUGGGCGCAAGCCUGAUCCAGCAAUGCCGCGUGAGUGAUGAAGGCCCUAGGGUUGUAAAGCUCUUUUACCCGGGAAGAUAAUGACUGUACCGGGAGAAUAAGCCCCGGCUAACUCCGUGCCAGCAGCCGCGGUAAUACGGAGGGGGCUAGCGUUGUUCGGAAUUACUGGGCGUAAAGCGCACGUAGGCGGCUUUGUAAGUCAGAGGUGAAAGCCUGGAGCUCAACUCCAGAACUGCCUUUGAGACUGCAUCGCUUGAAUCCAGGAGAGGUCAGUGGAAUUCCGAGUGUAGAGGUGAAAUUCGUAGAUAUUCGGAAGAACACCAGUGGCGAAGGCGGCUGACU